AGGAUGAACGCUAGCGGCAGGCUUAAUACAUGCAAGUCGAGGGGCAGCAGCUUUAUAGCAAUAUAGAGGCUGGCGACCGGCAAACGGGUGCGGAACACGUACACAACCUUCCUUGAAUAGGGGGAUAGCCCAUAGAAAUGUGGAUUAAUACCCCGUAAUAUAGCGGUGUGGCAUCACACUGUUAUUAUAGUUUCGGCGAUUCGAGAUGGGUGUGCGGCUGAUUAGGUAGUUGGCGGGGUAAAGGCCCACCAAGCCUUCGAUCAGUAGCUGAUGUGAGAGCAUGAUCAGCCACACGGGCACUGAGACACGGGCCCAUCCUACGGGAGGCAGCAGUAAGGAUAUUGUCAAUGGACGCAAGUCUAGAACCAGCCAUGCCGCGUGAAGGAUGAAGGUCCUCUGAUUGUAAACUUCUUUAGUAGGGACGUAAAAAGGUCUUACUAGAU
rnacentral:rRNA from 1 species